GUGAGGAAUAUUGGGCAAUGGGCGCAAGCCUGACCCAGCAACGCCGCGUGGGUGAUGAAGCUCUGAGGAGCGUAAAACCCUUUUAGGAGGGAAGAACCUUCCGAUUCAUCGGAACUGACGGUACUUCCAGAAAAAGCUCCGGCUAACUCCGUGCCAGCAGCCGCGGUAAUACGGGGGGAGCAAGCGUUGUCCGGAUUUAUUGGGCGUAAAGAGCGUGUAGGCGGGAUGGCAAGUCCCUGGUGAAAUUUCUUGGCUCAACCAAGAAACUGCCAGCGAUACUGUCAUUCUUGAGUACGGAAGAGGGAAAUGGAAUUCCUGGUGUAGCGGUGAAAUGCGUAGAUAUCAGGAAGAACACCAGUAGCGAAAGCGGUUUCCUGGUCCGUAACUGACGCUAAAAUGCGAAAGCGUGGGGAGCAAACAGGAUUAGAAACCCGUGUAGUCC
rnacentral:rRNA from 1 species